CCUUCUCUCCCUCCCCCUUUCUAUUUCCCUAACCCUCCCCUUCUCCCUUUCCAUCUCUUUCCCCCUCUCCCCAUUUUCCAUCUUCCUCACUCCCCCCCCACCUCCGUUAUCUUUGUAGAUGGAGAUUUUUACCUUCUGUCACACACUUUUUAUUUUGUCAACAGGAGAACAUUGAGGUACAGAAACCGACAGCUGUCAUCAGGAAGGACCAGGAGCCCUUUGGCUGCAUAGUGAAGCAUGUGGAGCAUGUGCAGCGCCUGCAGAGUCCAGAUCCCCUGGAAUGGAAUGACAGGCAGUUACCAUACUGGGAAUUGAACCAGGGUCCUCUGGAAGAACAACCAGUGCUCUUAACCACGAAGCCAUCUCUCCAGCCUGGAGCCCACUCCCUUCUCCUCUAAAUGUUUUGGGGAGACAGGACAGAAAGACUCUUCGCAGUUGAGGCUGGCCUUGAACCCACACAGAUCUGACUGCCUCUUCUUCCCUAGCACUGAGAUUAAAGAUUGUGUUUAUAAAUGAUCGGAGUCCAGAUGAAAUGUUUGGGGAAGUGAGUAUACUCAUAUAUGAAUGAGCAUUCAUGACAUGAGCUUGGCCAUGUCAAGGACCCCAUUGUCUCAGACACAUGUGAAUGGCAAGGCCUUAUCUAUCCGGGGAAUGGUAAGCCCUUCUCUAUUUCAGGUCCUGAUGUUGAUAACCAGCAGAUCUUUAGCUCUAAAACAGUGUAUGUAGAAAGUAACCACCACAGCUCCCCCCUCACUGAUGACUGCAGCUGGGGAUAGCUCCCCAGAGACCCUCCCAAGAUUAGCUCCCCACUUCCUCCCCAGCCAUUUGUGAUAAACAUGAUGAGUUUCAUCGCUGCUGGUGUAUCUCCAUCAGAGACCCCAGCCUCUCGGUAUGUGUGUCUGUCAUUUCUUGGUUUCUCCUUGCCCUAACAGAUCAACCCUAAAGUCAUACAGGUCGGGGCAAACGUCUUUGGAAGAGAAAAGGUGAAGAUGGGGGUGUGUGAAAGGGCACAGAAGGACAGACAACACAGACAAACAUGGCCCUGGAGGCCAAGAGAUGAGAACUAAAUCUCCUUUUCCAGCGCAGUAUCAAGCCGCCGGACUCAGAUUUUUACCAUCUGCUUCUACUUCCCUCCAUCCUUAAGAGAGCAUGAACAGAUCUGCUGCCACUACUGAAACCUCAUUUUCCACCAGGGGGAGCAGCUGUGCUCAAGUUCUAAGUCUGAGAAAUCCCAGGACAGGCUCCUAUUGGCUCGGCUCAGCAUGUUCUUCACAUCUUGAAUCAAUGGCUGGGCUAUGGGGCAGUCAAGUCUUCUGACUGACCGGCUACUCUCCUCCUCACAGUACAUUCUGUCUCAUGUUUUUCAACCCUUCAUGUAGCUGGGGUGACUUUGGAGUCCUGAUCCUCCUGCCUCUCCCUCCCACAUGCUGGGACUGCAGGCAUGCAGCACCUACCUGGUUUAUGCAGUGCUGAGACUCAAACCUGGAGGAACUGAAGCAUGCUAGACAAGCACUCCAGCACAUCCCGGACCACUCAGGACUUUUGAUAAGCCCAGGAUUCGUAUUCUCAUAGGCUCUGCACUCAUGGCUUAAAUGUCUCCCAAAGGUCAGGUUCCUGUUACUAUCGUUUUGGGGACUGGGAUUAUAGCACUGAUGUUUUGGGGGAACCAGAACCAUGGCAUGAACAUUUGGGGGUUAGGAUUGUUACAGGGAUGUUUUCUGGGUUAGGAAUGUACCAUGGAUGUUUUAGGGAUUUGGACUUUAGCAUGGCUGUUUAGGGGGUUAGGAUUAUGGCAUGACUAUUUGGGGGAUUAAAACUGGCACAGAUGUUUUGAGUUUAGGACUGUACUAUGUAUUUGGGGGAUUAGAACUGUAGACAGAUGUUUUGGGUUCCCAAAUUGUAGCAUGGAUGUGUAAGGAGAACACAAACAUUCAGCUCAUAGCAUAUUCCACUGCUUUUUAUAGAAAAUAAAUCAAAUCAAGAUCAGUUUAAUGUUGCAUCCUGUUUGGUUUGUGUCAUAGGAGGAACUGAGAUUUCCUAUGAUAAAGGAUGUGAUGUAGGUUCACGAGUCACUGAGAAGCCAAAUCUAAACCAGAGUGAAGCAAGAGAGUCAUCUUUUUCCCUGAAGCCACAGGCAGUGGGGACACACUUCCUGUCGGAGCCUUCCACAGUACAGAUCCUUUUGUCUGCAUGUCAGACUGAUGGUGCAUACGCUUGGAAAGUUCUCCACAAGCCUGCCCCUUCUGCUCCAGGGAAGACUACAGGGCAUCCUACUAUUGGGUAGCACAAACAUUCACCCUGUGGACAAGGAAAGGCUGUAAGUUUAGAACCCGGGGAAGCGAGGAGCUGCUCUCAAACUGCCCUCAAGUCAACACCCUGGAACAGCCCCUUUGCCGACAAAAGCUGUGAGGUACUUCAGACACCACGCAGAAAUAAGGCGUGAUGUCUUUAAAAUACUGGGAAUCUCUAUCCCCCUCAGUCUGAGAAAGUGUCUGGCUACCUGGGCCAUCCCCUGGACUGUGCGAAUGGCGAUGACCAAAAUCACCCCAAAGUCAGCAGCCAGUGGAGUUACCAGCGUGAGCAGGGAUGAGAUGAGCAAACCAGCACCAAGAAUCUGCUUUGCUCCAAAUAUUCCCGCUAAAUAGCCACUUGGAAUCAGAGUCAGUAUGAUUCCAUAACUGAUGGAGCUAAAGAUGAUGCCCUGCGUCUCUGUGCUCCACUGAUAAACAGCGGCCUGGAAAGGAAGAAAAAGAAGUUGAAUUCUAUGCUCAGCAGAGUGAAGACUGCAGCCUCCCUAUCCUGUUCUGCCUCCCUAUCAGUGACGUUUUCUCUCGGCAUAGAGCCUGCUCCUCACCACACUCACCCGAGU